CAGGCAUGUUCAAUGUUGGCAUAUGAUUUACGAAGAAAAACGUGAAAAUGAUUGAAGACUUGAUAUUAAAGCUCUGCUCACAGGCACAGGGUAUAUAACUAUUAACUCAACCACGAAGGAAAACAUUGAAAUGACAUAUAGUGUUGUAUAGUGUCGUAUACUCUUGUAUAUUAAACGUUGUAUAGUAUUGUUUAGUCUUGUAUAGUCUUGUAGUCGAGACUAUAGUGUAGUAUAGUGCUGUAUAGUCUUGCAUAGUGUCAUAGUCUUGUAUAACGUUGUAUAGUGUUGUAUAGUUUUAUAUAGUGUCGUAUAACCUUAUAUAUUGUUGCAUAGUCUUGUAUAACGUUGUAUAGUGUUGCACAGCGUUGUAUAUAGUGUCGUAUAUCCUUUAUAUAUUGUUAUAUAGUCUUGUAUAUAACGUUAUAUAGUGUUGUAUAGUAUCGUAUAUAGCCUUAUAUAUAUAUAUAUAUAUGUCGUAUAGUCUUGUAUAACGCUGUAUAGUGUCGUAUAGCCUUAUAUAGCGUUGUAUAGUUUUGUAUAACGUUGUAUAACGUUGUAUAGUGUUGUAUAGUGUUGUAUAGUCUUCUUUAGUGUAGUAUAGUGUCAUGUAUAAUCUUGUAUAGUGUCAUAAUUUUUAUAGUCUUGUAUAACGUUGUAUAGUGUUGUAGAGUGUCGUAUAACCUUAUAUAUUGUUGCAUACAGUAGUCUUGUAUAACGUUGUAUAGUGUUGUAUAGUGUCGUAUAGCCUUGUAUAUUAUUGUGUAGUGCCGUAUAGUCUCGUAUAGCCUUAUAUAGUGUCGUAUAGUCUUGUAUAACGCUGUAGUGUCGUAUAGUGUCGUAUAGCCUUAUAUAGUGUUGUAUAGUUUUGUAUAACGUUGUAGUGUCGUAUAGUCAUAUAUUAUUGUAUAGUGUCGUAUAGUGUUGUAUAAUGUCGUAUAUUCUUGUAUAAUUAACAUUGUAUAGUAUCGUAUAGCCUUAUAUAGUGUUGUAUAGUGUUGCAUAACGUACGUUGUGUAGUGUUGUAUAGUCUUCUUUAGGGUAGUAUAGUGUCACGUACAAUCUUGUAUAGUGUCAUAAUUUUUAUAGUCUUGUAUAACGUUG